AUGGGGCGCGGCGGCGGGCGGGCGAGGGAGGAGGAGGAGGAGCUGAGGGGCGCGAAGCGCGGGUACCGGGAGGCGGUGUCGGAGGGGAACCGGGAGGAGGAGGCGCGGUGGGCCAACGUCAUCGGCGACAUCCACAAGCGCCGCGGCGAGUACGUGGAGGCGCUCCGCUGGCUGCGCCGCGACUACGACGUCACCGUCAAGUACCUCCCGCAGCGCCACCUGCUCGAGUCCUGCCAGUCGCUCGGGGAGGUCCACCUCCGCCUCGCCCAAUUCUCCCAGGCCCUCACCUACCAGAAGAAGCACCUACAACUUGCCAAGGAAACCGAGAACCUUGUUGAGGAGCAGCGAGCUUGUACCCAGCUUGGGAGGACCUACCAUGAAAUCCUUCUAAGUUCUGAAAACGACCACAGUGCCAUACGGAAUGCCAAGAAGUAUUUCAAAGCUGCCAUGAAACUGGUAAAGGGUCUAAGAGAGAAUGCCCCGUCUGGAAAAUCACCCUACCUGAAGGAGCUCAUUGACUCAUACAAUAAUUUGGGCAUGCUUGAACUAGAUCUUGAUAACCUUGAAGAAGCUGAGCAACUACUUAACCAGGGUUUGAAAAUUUGUGAUGAAGAAGAGGUAAAUCAGUAUGAUGAUGCUCGCACUAGGCUCCAUCAUAAUCUAGGAAAUGUUUAUACUGAGUUACGCAACUGGAACAAAGCCAAGGUUCAUAUUGAGAAGGACAUAGCUAUAUGUAGAAACAUAGACCAUAUUCAAGGUGAGGCAAAGGGAUUUAUAAAUCUGGGGGAGUUGCAUUCUCGGAUUCAAAAGUAUGGAGAUGCAAAACUUUGCUACGAAAAAGCCCUUCAAAUAACAAAGGGUUUGGAAGAUGAAGAUGCACUAGUUGAUCAAAUUCAUCAGAAUAUUGAAACUGUUACGAAAGCAGCUGAAGUUCUUGAAGAGUUGAAGAAAGAUGAGCAGAAACUGAAAAAGCUUGUCAGAGAUACUUCUGAUGCUCGUGGAACAUCGAACGAGAGAAAACUCCUCUGUGAGCAGCAUGCAUGGCUGGAUAAUCUUAUUGAAAAGGCAAGAAUGAUAUCUGCAUGGCCAAAACACAAGGAAUUUUCGAAAGGGAAAAAGAGAGUAACAAAUGAACUUCGUGAGAAGGAAAAACAGAGUGAUGCUCUUUUGUCCAUAGGAGAAUCAUACCAAAAGCUUAGAAUCUUCGGCAAAGCUCGUAAAUGGUACAUGAAAAGCUGGAACAUGUAUCGAUCGAUUGGAAACUUAGAGGGGCAAGCAUUGGCAAAAGUGAACAUUGGUAAUGUUCUUGAUUCUUGUGGUGACUGGGCUGGUGCGUUGCAAGCUUUUGAAGAAGGCUACAGAAUUGCUGUGGAAGGGAAUCUGCCAAAUGUGCAACUUUCUGCCCUCGAGAACAUGCAUUACAGUCACAUGGUCAGGUUUGAUAGUGUAGAAGAUGCCAAGAAGGUACAUGAAAAAAUAGAUAACUUGAAGCAAAAAUUGAAUCAGCAUGGAGCAAGGGAUACUGUAAGUGAUUAUUGCUCAGAAACUGAAUCUGAAGGUGGUGAUGCAUCUGAUAAAAUGCUUGAUCAAGAGGACAGUGGUGAGCAUGCUGCAAAUACAUAUUCUGAGGAACCUGAUGAUCAUGUUGUUCUUGCUUCACUGGUUCAUAGAAGUAGGAGCUCAUCCAAUACGAAGGCAUCCAAGAUACAUAGCAUCCAGAAGAAGGUUGAUAGAUCAUGUGAUAUCGAUGAGCGCACUAGAGAAGUUUUAAGUAAAUCAUGCAGUAACCAGUCUGGUAAAAGACGUGUCCGUGUGUUUAUAUCAGACGAUGAAGCUGAUCAGAGUCCUGAAAUUGAUCAAUCAAAAAAGAAGCGAACUAAUCGAACAGAUAGUCUGUCUACAUCAGAGGACAUAGCAAAUGGAGCAAACAACAGGAAUCAGGUAGACCCUACUGAACCUAGGGAUGUGUACAGUAUCUGCACACCCUGCCCGGCUGAGGAAAGUAUAUGCUCAUUCAAAUCAAGUAGCCCCACUGGUCAUGGUAAUGAUGGACUGGAAAUAGGAGCUUCUAGUGGACGAAAAGUGUCUUCAUCCAAGCCAGCAGCAAGUGGUUCCAGAAUUUGUACUCCUGCAUCUCAUAGUCAACCACAUGGUCAAAAUGCUGUUGGCCUCCUAUCCACAGAUGCUGAUCAUCAACACUUGGCGUUCAGAAUUGGUCAGCAUCUGGUGUAUUUGGAUUUAAAUGCUUGCAUAUGUGAGGCUGCUUUUAACAUUGAGUCUCUUAAAGUUGAAGUGGCAUGUGUAUACCACCUUCAGAUUCCUGAUGAAAAGAGCUCCAAAGGCUUGUUGCCUAUUAUUGGGGAGCUCAAGUGUUGUGGGAAUGUACUGGAUGGUGCAGAAUCAAUUGAUUAUAUUGGCCAACUUGCUUCUGAACAGAAGUGCAUUGAGGCUUUUGUUGAUGAUUGGGUGCCAAAGCGGUUGAUGAAAUUGUACGUUGAUUUCUGUACAAAGUCCUCAGAAGCACCAAAUAAGAAGCUAUUGAAAAAAUUGUAUAAUCUUGAAGUCUCUGAAGAUGAAAUCAUUCUGUCUGAUUGUGGACUGCAAGAUUUGUCAAUUUCACCUCUUCUUGAAGCCCUAAGAUCACAUAAAACAAUAGCCAUGUUGGAUCUUUCUCAUAACAUGCUAGGAAACGAAACAAUUGAAAGCCUUCAACAAAUAUUUGCUUCGUCAUCCCAAACAUAUGGUGGCUUGACACUGGAUUUGCAUUGCAAUCGAUUUGGUCCAACUGCUUUAUUUCAGAUCUGUGAGUGUGCUGUUAUGACUGAACGGCUGGAAGUACUUAAUCUGGCUGGGAAUCGCCUCACAGAUGGUUGCAGCUCUUAUCUUUUCACAAUCUUACAGAAGUGCAAAGCACUAUAUAGCUUGGAUGUUGAGCAGUGUUCUAUCACAUCAAGAACAGUUCAGAAAAUGGCAGAUGCACUACAUGAAGGCUCGGUCCUUUCACAUCUCUCGAUAGGAAAAAACAAUCCAAUUUCUGGCAACACAAUGCUUAACCUUCUCUCCAAACUGGCUUCUUUGAAAAGGUUUUCACAACUAAGCCUAACUGGUAUAAAACUGAACAAGUUAAUUGUUGAUAAACUGUGUCUACUUGCACAAUCCUUGAGUCUAUCUGGAUAUCUGCUAGGUGGAACUUCCAUUGGACCUGGAGGAACAAUUAGGCUCACCGAGGCAUUAUCUAGUGCGUCCCAAGAAUUGAUGAGGUUGGAUUUAUCCAACUGCGGGCUCACAACUCCUGAAUUCUCACAGAUCUGUACAAAUCUUUCUAGAAUUAAUAUUCUCGACUUGAACCUCGGAGGAAAUUCCAUUAACAUGGAGGGAUGUGAUGCUGUUGGGGCAAUACUUGCAAAUCCCCAGUGCAGUCUUAGAUCUCUCACUCUCGACAGAUGCAAUCUUGGGCUUGGUGGCAUUACUCGAAUUAUUCAGGCACUAGCAGGGAAUGAUCAACUGGAGGAGCUGAGCAUGGCCGAGAAUGCAAACCUGGCACUAGAGAGAACACUGCACUUGGACGAGGACAUGCAGGAUGUGUCGACAGGCACCGAGCACAGACACGGCCACAACGCCGAAGCAGGCGACAAUGUAGCUCCAGGAAACGUCGAUCUGGAGAAGAUGGUGGUGGCGGACAGUGAGGACGAAGCGGCAAACGAGGACCGACGUACAGUUUCUGGUCCUGCCAGGAGCUGCGCGAGCUCCUGCCAGCGAAACUCCUAUUCCGGCUGCCAGUUUGUCCAGGAGCUCGCGGAGGCCCUCGUCUCGGCGAAGCAGCUGAGGGUGCUCGACCUCAGCCAGAACGGGCUGUCUGAGGAGGCCGUCCAGUCGCUGUACUCUGCCUGGGCGUCGGGCCCGAGAGGCGACGGGGUGGCCCGGAAGCAUGUGGGAAAGGAGGUGGUGCAUUUCUCGGUGGAUGGGGCGACGUGCUGCGGGCUUAAGCCCUGCUGCAGAAGGGACUUGCAGAUGUGA
rnacentral:rRNA from 1 species